rnacentral:tRNA from 2 species
GGAGGGAUGGCCGAGUGGUUGAAGGCACACGAUUCGAAAUCGUGGAACCCGUAAGGGUUCGGGGGUUCGAAUCCCUCUCCCUCCG